rnacentral:rRNA from 1 species
UACAGAGGCCCCAAGCGUUACUGAGAAUCACUGGGUUUAAAGGGUGCGUAGGUGGCGCGUUAAGUCCGUUGUGAAAGCCCUGGGCUCAACCCAGGAACUGCUUCGGAUACUGGCGCGCUUGAGGCUAGUAGGGGUCACUGGAACUGACGGUGGAGCGGUGCAAUGCGUAGAUAUCUGGAGGAACACCAGUGGCGAAGGCGGUGUUCUGGGCCUGUACUGACGCUGAUGCGCGAAAGCGUGGGGAGCGAACAGG